GACGGGGGAGGCAAGCGUUGUCCGGAAUUAUUGGGCGUAAAGAGCGCGUAGGUCGUUUAUCAAGUCAUUUGUGAAAACUUUAGGCUUAACUUAAAGAUUGCAAGUGAUACUGGUAAACUUGAGUACAGUAGAGGAAAGCGGAAUUCCUGGUGUAGCGGUGAAAUGCGCAGAUAUCAGGAAGAACACCAGUGGCGAAGGCGGCUUUCUGGGCUGUUACUGACACUGAGGCGCGAAAGCUAGGGGAGCGAAC
rnacentral:rRNA from 1 species